CUCGUAGGUCGGCUGGUCGCGUCUGUCGUGAAAUCCUCUGGCUUAACUGGGGGCUUGCGGUGGGUACGGGCCGGCUUGAGUGCGGUAGGGGAGACUGGAACUCCUGGUGUAGCGGUGGAAUGCGCAGAUAUCAGGAAGAACACCGGUGGCGAAGGCGGGUCUCUGGGCCGUUACUGACGCUGAGGAGCGAAAGCGUGGGGAGCGAACA
rnacentral:rRNA from 1 species